UACGUAGGGGGCGAGCGUUGUCCGGAAUCAUUGGGCGUAAAGCGCGCGUAGGCGGUAGAGCGCGUCGGCCGUGAAAACGCCGGGCUCAACUCGGCGCGGUCGGGCGAAACGGCUCUGCUGGAGGCCGGUAGAGGGUCGUGGAAUUCCGGGUGUAGUGGUGGAAUGCGUAGAGCUCCGGAGGAACACCAGAGGCGAAGGCGGCGGCCUGGGCCGGACCUGACGCUGAGGCGCGAAAGCGUGGGGAGCGAUCCGG
rnacentral:rRNA from 1 species